rnacentral:lncRNA from 1 species
GGCAUUUUUCCCUUAUACAUGUAUAAUAUAACUUCAGCAUGAUUUGAUUAUGAUGAAACGAUAAUGUACGAUAUGAUAUACUGUACUGUAUGGCCUUUCAUAUGAAAUAUGCAUUGUGUUGAUAUAAAUACAAGAUGUAAAUUGGUUAUGAUGGUUGUUUGGGCAUGUUUCCCAUAUACAUGUAUAAUAUAACUUCAGCAUGAUUUGAUUAUGAAGAAACGAUAAUGUACGAUAUGAUAUACUGAACUGUAUGGC